AGGUGGCGCCCAUGCAUCAUUUUUAUGAGGUGGCAUGUAGGCUAGCAAUCAACCCUAUAAACAGAAACUGUUCCUAGGAAUGAUAACAAGGGGGAAUCACAGAAACAGUCUAAAAGUGAGCAUGCCUACAGAUUUGACAACAGCCCUAACAUUUGAAAACUUUAAAUUCACCUUAGUGCAAGGUUUUUGAGAUGAGCUUGACCUUGAAUCUCAUUCUUUCUAUAAAAAACCCUUUAAAAACACAUUUUAAUUUGUGAAGACAAAGCUAUUCUCCUCUUUCACUGUUUCUUUGUUAUUUCUGCAAAAACUGCAAAAGUCAGAGCUUCCAGAAGACCAUAUAUUUUACUCUCCGUGCAACCAGCACAUGUCCUUCUCUGGUUUCCAGUUUCCUAAAGUGUUAUUCAGAAUCCAGCGCAAGGAAACUUCUCCAUUUCCGACAGCCUUUUAAAUCCAUGAAGUUUUAUGAAAUCAGUAUUAGCUUUCUUUGGAUAUGGGCUUCUGAUGGCACCUUGUCUUUUAUCUAGAUCAUUUUAUGGUCCAUUAAUUGAAUAGAUAAUGUUUCUCUGCAAGGGCUGAAGGGUCAUUUAACAUUUUCAACAGGAUUGCAUGUCAGACGUACACCUUACUGAGUUCAAGGGGGCUUACUCCAAGGUAAGUGGGUAUAAGAUUGCAGUCUUAAUGCAUAUAUGCACCCUUGGAGGGCUGGAUCCACUCUUCCUGUGAAACAGUUCUGAGCCAUUGAUUUCAAUGGAGAGGCAAACAUGUGCUAAAUCUCUCUCACCAAAAUUAGCAGGACUUAAAACUGCUGAACUGUGGCUGGAUCACCUCUUCUAUUAUUAUCUGCAUUUAAUUUAAAAAUUAAAAAUGCACAAUUUAUAGAAAAUGGGGUGGUGGCGGAAAUAAUUUGAUAAAUACUCCCCCCCCCCAUUCCUCAUUUGAAGAGCCUAGAUACACACUGAUAGCAUUGUUGUGGCUCUAUGUAUGUGCUUGUAAAAGUCCCAUUAGUGAGGAGAAGUGCCUCCAUAUGUAGCAGGUCUGAUACCAAUAGUUGCCCUGUCAAGGUGCAAAAUCCAAAUCCGGAUAGGUUAUUUACAGUGGUGAACAGUGGGGUGGGGUGGGGUGGUGGCAAUUACCUGACCUCUGAACAGCUGAGUCGCUGUUGUUUAUGGGGAGAAUGGGAGGGGCAAGGUAGCAGGGUGCGAGGCAAAGGCAGCAGUCCAUGCAGUCCAACUCUCCUGCCGGUGCAUUUGCACUGUGCUGACCUCCUCACCACAUUUCUCCUACACUUUUCUUUUGUUAAAUAAAUUUGUAUUGUUUUCCACAAAUUAACUCCACAUUAACACUACCCCCCCAAUCCCCAUGUGUAGCAAUAUCUUUUCAAAACCUUUUAAUCAAGAUUCCAAGAGUCUCCACUCUUCCCUCCAUCCCCUCUUCUGGUUCUUUAUAUAAACAAAAUUCUCUUACAUUUCCAUAUCUAUUUACCCAGUUCUCUAAUAAUUACACAAAGUUAAUCAAAACUUGAUAACACUUCAAAUCAUUUACCAUUAUUUAACACAGAUAUCGUUUAAGCAUCUAGAAUAUCUUUUAACACAACUUUCUGCAUUCUGCAUCUGUUCUUAACUAUUAUUUACUCAAUUUUCUAAUAAUUACCUAUAAUUAAUCAAAACUUACUAAAACUACAAAUCAUUUACCAUUAUUUAACACAUAUGUCAUUUAAGCAUCUAGAAUAUCAUUUAACACAACUACACUUUUCACUUCUAAGUAAGCAGCUACUACUCAGCUCAGCAUCAACACCACACCAACAGACACCAAGCUGUCCACUACUGGCUGCUUAGGCAGCUAAGGAAGGAAAAUUAAGAAGUACUCUUUUCUGUCCUUAGAAGUGAAGCUAGAGGCAACACACAGACUGUUGUCAUUGGUGCCUAGAGCAGCCCAAAGGAGACCACAGCCAUUCAUUCAUUGUCCAGAGGAGCCUAGAGGAUAUGGAGAGCUGAUGUCUGGAAAGUGAUGGCCUUCAGGUAGUUGCUAAAAGGAAAGCAACACUUUUGGGCGAUCCUUUGAGAGUUGUUUUUAAUACUCUCAAUACAGUAUUGAAUAUGUGGUUUUAGUGUUGCUUUUCAUCGCAAAUCACUUUGAGUAUUAUUUGAACAGAAAAAUACAGUAUAAAUGUUAACUCUAGUUUAAUCUAAUAAUAAAUUAUCUAACAUUCAUUUGCUGCCUGAUCACAACACCCGAAAAUCCAGCUACCUCACUCUACCUAAUGCUUAGGGCUGACCCUGAGGAAGCAUGCUGCAGAAAUGUAGCAGAACCAGUCAUUCUGAUUCUGUCCAAUGUGAAGUUAUUUGGUAUCUGAAAGGGGCUUUUGUCAUUCGUAUAAUUAGGAUUGCAGAUUACCACACAAAUUUGCAGUUCUAGCAGAUGAGAGCACAUUUCCUCAUCCUCUUCCUCAUCAGGAAGAAAGAUUACUUUGUGGUGAUGGGCAUGUAAGGCCUCCUAAUAAUAAAGCACAAAAUAUUUGAGUAGGAUUAUUUCUCCUGGCAUGCUAUGGCAAGAUUAUUUUCCAUGGGUGUUUGUUGUAUCUAUGUAUCUAUGCUGUUGUUUUUUAAAGUGCUUAAAAUUGUCAUGUUCAUUUGGCAAUAUGCUGGAACUGCAAUACACUGGAUUCCAAACCAGAUUGCCCUCUCAAUCGAGUUUGAGACCCUUUGCAAAUUAUACUGGCACAGCACGCAAGACUCUGAGAAAAGUCCUGAAAAGACCUACUUCGGUUCCCAGUACGUUUCCAAGCAGAAUACAAGGUGGUGCAGACCUUUAAAGCCCUAAAUGGCCUCAGCCCAGUAUACCUGAAGGAGCGUCUUCACCCUCAUUGUUCAGCCCAGACACUGAGAUCCAGCUCCAAGGACCUUCUGGCAGUUCCCUCACUGUGAGGUUACAGGAAACCAGGCAGAGGGCCUUCUCGGUAGUGGCACCCACCCUGUAGAACACCCUCCCAUCAGAUGUCAAGGAGGUAAGUAACUAUUCAAUCUUUAGAAGACAUCUGAAGGCAGCCCUGUAUAGGGAAGUUUUUAAUGUUUAAUGUUUUACUAUGUUUUUGUAUAUGCUGAAAGCCAUCCAGAGUGGCUGGGGCAACACAGUCAGAUGAGCAGGGUAUUAUUAUUAUUAUUAUUAUUAUUAUUAUUAUAGACUGCAACCUUCCCUCUAAUUUACUAAUCAUUAAUGACUACAGCCACAUUCUUUUUUGUUUGAUCAACUGGGGCAGCAGAUGCUUAACGGAGUGUCCAAUCUAAAAGGGGUAUCUGUCUAUCUGUCUGUCUGUCUGUCUGUCCCUAUCUCCUCCAUCUUUUGGGGUCCCUGGACAUAAGAAUAAAUAUAUAUCAAGGUCUGCUAUCCAGCUGCUAUUUGGAAACUGCUGAGCCUAAGAUGAUCUCCUCGUUGCCAUCACCGCUUAUUAGAGGGGGUUUUUCUUCUGGUGACAGAGGACAGAACCACGAGACCGGUGUAAAACACUCAAACAAAGGUUUUAUUACAGCUAUACAAAACAACAAACACAAAGCAUGUGGGAGUUCUCUCUCUGCAGGCAAAUUCAGACUGCAACUCCUCCUCCUUUUGUACUCAUCACCAGCUGUACCUAAUCAGCCUAGAAAACCACUCACAGUAACAGUUCUUAAAGUUAAAAUCAUCUUUUCUGUUUCUUUGCAGAAUGACUCCUAACACCGCUCCCUCAUCCAAUUGCAUUCUUCCAAGGGAACACUCCAGGCCUGAUCCACAGCACAUACUGCCUAGAACAGGAAUGGAGAACCCAUGGGCCCCCCAGGUGGUGCUGGACUCUAAUUCCCAACAGCCCC